GCUGUUUGAUGUCUGGGUCGUGGUUCUCAGCCUGGGGCAUCACCUCCUCCAAGUAAAACUGGAUCAUCUCCGACAAGGCUUGGCAACCCAGGGCCUUUGCACAUGACAUUUCCCCUUUCUGGAUUGUUCGUCCCCUUCCCUUCAUCCUUCAGUUAUCAACUCAGAUGUUACUUCCUCAGAUGGGCAAACGGAGGCCCCGAGAAGAAAGUGACUUUCCCAGGCACUCAAAACAGUUAAUGGUAAAGGUGGAAUCUGACCUCAAUUCUCUCUGGAUUAUUCUCAAAUCAGCACCUAAUUCCUUGGUUCAGAGGAGUAUUAAAUCGCUCUGAAUUCUCAUGACCCACACCAACACUAGAGGGC